GUCAGCCAAGCCCAAUGGGUCAAAGCUUCCACCUGGGUAGAUUGGGUCUGUGACCUUACAGAAUCGCCGGUGGGCCACUCGGUGAGGUCACAGACCCAAUCUACCCAGGUGGAAGCUUUGACCUCACCGAGUGGCCCACC
rnacentral:pre_miRNA from 1 species